rnacentral:rRNA from 1 species
UUGAUCCUGGCUCAGAUUGAACGCUGGCGGCAUGCCUUACACAUGCAAGUCGAACGGUAACAGGUCUUUCGGGAUGCUGACGAGUGGCGAACGGGUGAGUAAUACAUCGGAACGUGCCUAGUAGUGGGGGAUAACUACUCGAAAGAGUGGCUAAUACCGCAUGAGAUCUAUGGAUGAAAGCAGGGGACCUUCGGGCCUUGUGCUACUAGAGCGGCCGAUGGCAGAUUAGGUAGUUGGUGGGAUAAAAGCUUACCAAGCCUGCGAUCUGUAGCUGGUCUGAGAGGNNGAUCAGCCACACUGGGACUGAGACACGGCCCAGACUCCUACGGGAGGCAGCAGUGGGGAAUUUUGGACAAUGGGGGAAACCCUGAUCCAGCAAUGCCGCGUGNNNGGAUGAAGGCCUUCGGGUUGUAAACUGCUUUUGUACG